GAUGCUUUACACAUGCAAGUCGAACGGCAGCGGGGGCUUCGGCCUGCCGGCGAGUGGCGAACGGGUGAGUAAUGCAUCGGAACGUGCCCAUGUCGUGGGGGAUAACGUAGCGAAAGCUACGCUAAUACCGCAUACGCCCUGAGGGGGAAAGCGGGGGGAUUCUUCGGAACCUCGCGCGAUUGGAGCGGCCGAUGUCGGAUUAGCUAGUAGGUGAGGUAAAGGCUCACCUAGGCGACGAUCCGUAGCGGGUCUGAGAGGAUGAUCCGCCACACUGGGACUGAGACACGGCCCAGACUCCUACGGGAGGCAGCAGUGGGGAAUUUUGGACAAUGGGCGCAAGCCUGAUCCAGCCAUGCCGCGUGAGUGAAGAAGGCCUUCGGGUUGUAAAGCUCUUUCGGCCGGGAAGAAAUCGUGGUCUCUAACAUAGGCCAUGGAUGACGGUACCGGACUAAGAAGCACCGGCUAACUACGUGCCAGCAGCCGCGGUAAUACGUAGGGUGCGAGCGUUAAUCGGAAUUACUGGGCGU
rnacentral:rRNA from 1 species